GUUUGGACAUUCCAUUUUUCAAUCCAGAUAUAGCUAGUGCAAAAUGCAUUCAGUCAAUAUUUUAUUAUAGUUUAUCGAAGGUUGGUUAGCUUGAAUCGAUUAGCAUUUAUAGGUAGGAGUCCUUCGGCUUGUCACCAAGUCAAAUCAUCCAUGCAAGGAGUUUAUGUCGUGUUUACUGGUAGAACUUAUUUUUCAUAAUUUGCGAAAAUCAUAUUUUGCUUUUCGGUAGCAGUUAAGUACCAAAUUCCGAGAUCAAUAAUGAUUAAUGGAUGCAAUGAAAGUUAAACCAAAUUGAGUGACAUACUGAAACCAAAUCAGGUGCGCUAAUUUCUUUUGGUGCAUACUGCAUACUCUUAAAACACCAGGUACUAAAAUAAACAACACCAUAAAUGUACUAAUAAAUUCCCACUUUUUUUGGCGAGCAGCCAAGCAUACGAUGGAACGAAACUGAUUCAAACAAGCUGUAGAAGGUGUCGUAACCUAUCCUAUUAACAAUAGACUUCGGCGUGCUCCAGGAAAACUGCAGCAUGUAUUAUAAGUUUGUUUACCAAACCAUUACAAUUACAACAUAUAACAUGCCAACAUCAAUGUAUCAGUAACACACCAAAAUGAGAUAACAAAACAAUUUUUUCAGCUAGAGAUUGGUGGGCAGACGUCAGAUGAAACGGAAC
rnacentral:lncRNA from 1 species